GAUGAAGAACGCAGCGAAAUGCGAUACGUAAUGUGAAUUGCAGAAUUCAGUGAAUCAUCGAAUCUUUGAACGCACCUUGCGCUCCUUGGUAUUCCGAGGAGCAUGCCUGUUUGAGUGUCAUUAAUAUAUCAACCUCUUCAGCUUAUGCUUGUUGAGUGUUGGAUGGUGGGGGUUUGCUGGUGUCUUAUGAAGUCAGCUCCUCUGAAAUGCAUUAGCGGAACAAUUUGUUGACCGUUCAUUGGUGUGAUAAAAAUAUCUACGCUAUUGACGUCAGUCAGUUCAGCUUCUAACAGUCCAUUGACUUGGACAAAUUUUUCAUUAAUGUGACCUCAAAUCAGGUAGGACUACCCGCUGAACUUAAGCAUAUCAAUAAGCGGAGGA
rnacentral:misc_RNA from 1 species